AUGAAUAUUCAUGUGUUUCUGUUUCGCGUUAAAGCGACUCUGAUAAUAUUAGUACGUUUUCACCGGAUCACAAAAACUGUUCAACAAGGUGUCACAUGGAAGUGCAUGACAGCCAGAGCUGGGUAGUAACGGAUUACAUGUAAUCUGGAUUACGUAAUCAGAUUCCAAAACUCAAGUACUUGUAAUUAGAGUAAACUACUUUUUAAAAUACUCGUAAUCAGACUACAGUUACUUUUUUAUGGAUUACAUGAUUACAUUUUGUUUACACAAUGGUAAUAAGUUGUUCACAAUUCAUUGAUUCUCCUAAAUUUCCUUUUUUUAACAUGUAUAUUUUUUCCUAAUAAACCUGCCGCUUAUAUACGUUCGUGAUUCUUCGAGUUUUUCCGGCGGAGAAGGGGAGGGGUGUCAGAAUCACGCUCAGAAGAAAUCAGCAACAAGAUAAUGGAAAAUGGAGGAGAACACAGCCUUUAAUAUGUUCUUUAAUAUAUUUUUUGAAAUGUUGAUUUUUCGUUAUUGUUACUACCUUAUCCACUUCAAGUGUUUUGAGAUGAAAUAUUUAACUUAGUUAUGGUCUUUAAUAUAUUCAAUAUUUGACCUGGCAGUGAUAUUGCUGUGAAUUUUAUGUUUUUCAAUAUUGGUUUUUGUAAUGUAGCUGUUUUCUAAAUUUACUUAAUUAUAAGUAAAUAUCCUUUAAAAUCAUUAGAUGUGAUUUUGUUUUAUUUAGUGUUACUAGCAAACACUAGAAGGAAGGUACAUUAGUUUUAGUAUUUUGUAAGUAUUAACUGUCCAUACAUUGCACUUGAAAAAGAAGUUAUUGUGGCUCUUGUUGGUGAAUUAAAUAUAUUUUGUGGAAUAUAUUUUUUCUUUGUAUAGAUCAAAAUAGUACAAGAUUAGACUAAUUCAAAAUAUGUUGUAUCAAAUAAGGGUUAGCACAAAUGUAAUCUAAAUGUAAUCCAAAAGUAAUCCGAUUACGUUACCAAAAAUGUGUAAUCUAAGAGAUUAUAUUACUGACUACAAAUUUUGUCAUGUAAUCUGUAAUCAGUAACUGAUUACAAUUCAU
ensembl:lncRNA